rnacentral:sRNA from 1 species
AGCAGCCGCGGUAAUUCCAGCUCCAAUAGCGUAUAUUAAAGUUGUUGCAGUUAAAAAGCUCGUAGUUGAAUUUCGGGGUUAGCAGGUCGGUCGUGCCAUCGGUAUGAACUGGUCUCGCUGAUCCCUCCCUCUUGACGAACUGUGAUGCCAUUAAUUUGGUGUCGCAGGGAAUCAGGACUGUUACUUUGAAAAAUUAGAGUGUUUAAAGCAGGCUCACGCUUGAAUACAUUAGCAUGGAAUAAUGAAAUAGGACGUUUGAUCCUAUUUUGUUGGCUUCUAGGAUUGACGUAAUGAUUAAUAGGGAUAGUUGGGGGCAUUAGUAUUCAAUUGUCAGAGGUGAAAUUCUUGGAUUUAUUGAAGACUAACUACUGCGAAAGCAUUUGCCAAGGAUGUUUUCAUUAAUCAAGAACGAAAGUUAGGGGAUCGAAGACGAUCAGAUACCGUCGUAGUCUUAACCAUAAACUAUGCCGACUAGGGAUCGG